rnacentral:lncRNA from 1 species
UGUUGACAAAGUUGUUGAUCAUACUCCCACGUUUCAAUUGGUGAAGAGCAUUGUUGCUGCCACUGAUAAUGUUGCCUCUCCUCCAUGCUUUUGACAUGGUAUGGUUCAAAAUUCAUAAUCCUCUGAAAAAUUUCCUCAGAUUCUGUACUUCUUUGUAUAGGCAUAAAAUGAGGCUCAACAACUUGUCCAUAUCGACUUUGAUCCAUGUAUGAGUGAGGUUCCCACCAGUGAUUGAAAUUAUUUUGGUAGGAUUGAGUGCCCACAAAAUUAAAUUCUUGUCCAAACUGCAUUCUGCAAAAAUUAGGCACAAAACCCUAGAAAACAUUUAUUAGAACAAAAAUGAAAAUAAACAUAAAAUCAAGCCAAAUUCAAUUAAUUCACACUACUUGAAAAUAAACCUCGAGUCCCCGG